AUCCUUGGGGUUUCUGACCGUCUAGGGGGCCUCGUAUGUACAAUGCCGGGUCUUCUAGAAGGUAUACUGAGUGGUCUUAGCGAAUAGACAAAGAAACAUAAUACAGUUGUGGAACUCAAGCUUCCAACAUGGAGGAAUCUGAAAAAUGAAAACUGACAAAAUGGAUCAUUUUCCAUCUUUUGAUUUUCUGAAAUGUUUUUGGAUCAUCUUUUUAUAGAGAUUUACAUAUUGAUUGUUUCUAU